ACUUGGAUGAAAGGUGAUAGGCCAUCACCACCACCACAACCACCACCAUCACCACCACCAUCACCACCACCAUCACCACCACCACCACCACCAACACCACCAUCACCACCACCACCAACAACAACACCAUCACCACCACCAUCACCACCAACAACAACACCAUCACCACCACCACCACCAUCACAACCACAACCACCACAAUAA
rnacentral:lncRNA from 1 species